UACGGAGGGGGCUAGCGUUGUUCGGAAUUACUGGGCGUAAAGCGCGCGUAGGCGGCUUUGUAAGUUAGAGGUGAAAGCCCAGGGCUUAACCCUGGAAUUGCCUUUAAGACUGCAUCGCUAGAAUCGUGGAGAGGUGAGUGGAAUUCCGAGUGUAGAGGUGAAAUUCGUAGAUAUUCGGAAGAACACCAGUGGCGAAGGCGGUUCUCUGGGCAUUACCUGACGCUGAGGAGCGAAAGUGUGGGGGAGCGAAACAGG
rnacentral:rRNA from 1 species